rnacentral:rRNA from 1 species
CCCUUAGAUGUCCUGGGCCGCACGCGCGCUACAAUGACUCACUCAGAAAGUUUUUCCUGAUCCGGAAGGAUUCGGGUAAUCUUCAUAGCAUGAGUCGUGUUAGGGAUCGAUCUUUGCAAUUAUAGAUCUUGAACGAGGAAUGCCUAGUAAGUGCAGCUCAUCAGGCUGUACUGAUUACGUCCCUGCCCUUUGUACACACCGCCCGUCGCUCCUACCGAUUGAGUGGUCCGGUGAACCUUCUGGAUUAAGCAGCAAUGCUUGAGAAGUUAGGUAAACCUUAUCACGUAGAGGAAGGAGAAGUCGUAACA